AGAUUAAGCCAUGCAUGUCUCAGUGCAAGCCGUCCAGUACGGUGAAACCGCGAAAGGCUCAUUAAAUCAGUUAUGGUUCCUUAGAUUGUACCCACGUUACUUGGAUAACUGUGGUAAUUCUAGAGCUAAUACAUGCCGACAGAGAUCCGACCAGCGCCGGGCGUUCGGUUCGCCGUCGUGCGGCGUUCGGAAGGAUCGCUCUUAUUAGAUCAAAACCGGCCAAGCGGUCGUUCGCGUUCCGACGUGUUCGACCGUAAGUGGCCCGCGCAAAGACUUGACGACUCUGAAUAAUUUCGAGCUGAUCGCAUGGUCCUUGUACCGGCGACGUAUCUUUCAAAUGUCUGCCUUAUCAACUGUCGACGGUAGGUUCGAUGCCUACCGUGGUGGUAACGGGUAACGGGGAAUCAGGGUUCGAUUCCGGAGAGGGAGCCUGAGAAACGGCUACCACAUCUAAGGAAGGCAGCAGGCGCGCAAAUUACCCACUCCCAGCUCGGGGAGGUAGUGACGAAAAAUAACGAUACGGGACUCAUYCGAGGCCCCGUAAUCGGAAUGAGUACACUUUAAAACCUUGGUCACACGAGGAUCAAU
rnacentral:rRNA from 1 species